rnacentral:rRNA from 1 species
AACGAACGCUGGCGGCAGGCUUAACACAUGCAAGUCGAACGCACCUUUCGGGGUGAGUGGCAGACGGGUGAGUAACGCGUGGGAAUCUACCCUUCUCUACGGGAUAGCUCCGGGAAACUGGAAUUAAUACCGUAUACGUCCUGAGGGAGAAAGAUUUAUCGGGGAAGGAUGAGCCCGCGUUGGAUUAGCUAGUUGGUGGGGUAAAGGCCUACAAAGGCGACGAUCCAUAGCUGGUCUAAGAGGAUGAUCAGCCACAUUGGGACUGAGACACGGCCCAAACUCCUACGGGAGGCAGCAGUGGGGAAUACUGGACAAUGGGCGCAAGCCUGAUCCAGCCAUGCCGCGUGAGUGAUGAAGGCCCUAGGGUUGUAAAGCUCUUUCAGUGGGGACGAUAAUGACGGUACCCACAGAAGAAGCCCCGGCUAACUUCGUGCCAGCCGCCGCAGUAA